GUAGGUGCUGCUCCACGGCCACCACGGCAGGCGUGGGGCCCACCUGGCUGUCACUGACCUUUGGUGUGGCCCCAUGAGGCCUGCUGUCCCCUAGCACCUCCCCUCAGCCCCCAGCUGAGAAACAGGAACAGGCUGUCAGGACGACACACCCCCUUCCCUGGACACUGGGCUGCCCUUGGGCCCGGAGCCACCAGGAGGCCCUCAGGCUGUUCUCUCCCCUUGAGGGAUGCCUUCAGCCCCCGGGGGCCACAAGCUGCCCCGCCCUGUGGUGACGCCUUGGAGUGCAGUCCUUGUACCAGUGGCCAGCAGCCCCACCGCCCUCUGGACACCAAGUUCGGGGCCCACCCGGCUGCCAGAGCAGGAACCCCACCAAGCGCCAGGGGUGCCGAGGGGCACCGCAGGCUGAGGAUCACGCCUGGUCUGUGGUGGGGAACGGGCCUGCAGCAGAGUCUUUUGUCCCCCCAGGCCCAGGCCCAGGCCCACAGCAGCCACCCUAGGGCCUCUCUGCAGAGGAGCCUGCUGUCACCCACCGUGGGGGGCGGAACUGCAGCUUGGGCUCUUGGCAGCCGCACUCUGCAGAACCCUGUGGCCCAGGAAAUGGUGCCGGGCAGGUCAGGCUCCAGUCUCCAUUGACCUGAAACCCCCCGCCCCACUGCAGAGACGCAGAAAUGGGUGAUGUGAGGGGAUGGGGGCCCCCUGUGGCUCAGCGGCAGGGCACUUGCCUGGCCCGUGCAGAGCCCUGGCUGCCAGCCCCCGCACUGUGCCCAGAAGAAAAAAA
rnacentral:lncRNA from 1 species